AUUGAACGCUGGCGGCAGGCUUAACACAUGCAAGUCGAGCGGGGGAAGGUAGCUUGCUACCGGACCUAGCGGCGGACGGGUGAGUAAUGCUUAGGAAUCUGCCUAUUAGUGGGGGACAACAUCUCGAAAGGGAUGCUAAUAACGCAUACGUCCUACGGGAGAAAGCAGGGGAUCUUCGGACCUUGCGCACAUAGAUGAGCCUAAGGUGGAUUAGCUAGUUGGUGGGGUAAAGGCCUACCAAGGCGACGAUCUGUAGCGGGUCUGAGAGGAUGAUCCGCCAAACUGGGACUGGGACACGGCCAAGACUCCUACGGGAGGCAGCAGUGGGGAAUAUUGGACAAUGGGGGGAACCCUGAUCAGCCAUGCCGCGUGUGUGAAGAAGGCCUUAUGGUUGUAAAGCACUUUAAGCGAGGAGGAGGCUACUUUAGUUAAUACCUAGAGAUAGUGGACGUUACUCGCAGAAUAAGCACCGGCUAACUCUGUGCCAGCAGCCGCCGUAA
rnacentral:rRNA from 1 species